AUACUCGUUCCUCUAGAUUCAUUUGCUCUACUCGUGCUGCUCAUAAUGAAGAGGCCGCUGCGAAAGCUGCAGCUUCUCUUGCUGACACCAGAGCUCCGACCAUAUUUGACAUGAUUAUAGCGAAAGAGAUUCCAUCAGACAUUGUCUAUGAAGAUGAGA